rnacentral:ncRNA from 2 species
GGGGUUUCAAGAGAUGGCAUGCCUCUUUGAACCGCCGGCGAUCCGGCUGAUGAUGCCUACCCACCG